AAGGAUCAUUAAAGAAAUUUAAUAAUUUUGAAAAUGGAUUUUUUUUUUUGUUUUGGCAAGAGCAUGAGAGCUUUUACUGGGCAAGAAGACAAGAGAUGGAGAGUCCAGCCGGGCCUGCGCUUAAGUGCGCGGUCUUGCUAGGCUUGUAAGUUUCUUUCUUGCUAUUCCAAACGGUGAGAGAUUUCUGUGCUUUUGUUAUAGGACAAUUAAAACCGUUUCAAUACAACACACUGUGGAGUUUUCAUAUCUUUGCAACUUUUUCUUUGGGCAUUCGAGCAAUCGGGGCCCAGAGGUAACAAACACAAACAAUUUUAUUUAUUCAUUAAAUUUUUGUCAAAAACAAGAAUUUUCGUAACUGGAAAUUUUAAAAUAUUAAAAACUUUCAACAACGGAUCUCUUGGUUCUCGCAUCGAUGAAGAACGCAGCGAAAUGCGAUACGUAAUGUGAAUUGCAGAAUUCCGUGAAUCAUCGAAUCUUUGAACGCACAUUGCGCCCCUUGGUAUUCCAGGGGGCAUGCCUGUUUGAGCGUCAUUUCCUUCUCAAACAUUCUGUUUGGUAGUGAGUGAUACUCUUUGGAGUUAACUUGAAAUUGCUGGCCUUUUUCAUUGGAUGUUUUUCUUUUUCCAAAGAGAGGUUUCUCUGCGUGCUUGAGGUAUAAUGCAAGUACGGUCGUUUUAGGUUUUACCAACUGCGGCUAAUCUUUUUUAUACUGAGCGUAUUGGAACGUUAUCGAUAAGAAGAGAGCGUCUAGGCGAACAAUGUUCUUAAAGUUUGACCUCAAAUCAGGUAGGAGUACCCGCUGAACUUAA
rnacentral:rRNA from 1 species